rnacentral:tRNA from 1 species
GGUAAUUAGUUUAAUAAAAAUAAAUGAUUUCGACUCAUUAGAUUAUAACUUAUAAUUAUAAUUACCA